rnacentral:rRNA from 1 species
GUACACAAAAGCGCAUGUGCUGUGAGCUCGAUGAGUAGGGCGGGACACGUGGUAUCCUGUCUGAAUAUGGGGGGACCAUCCUCCAAGGCUAAAUACUCCUGACUGACCGAUAGUGAACCAGUACCGUGAGGGAAAGGCGAAAAGAACCCCGGCGAGGGGAGUGAAAAAGAACCUGAAACCGUGUACGUACAAGCAGUGGGAGCACAGGUUUACCUGUGUGACUGCGUACCUUUUGUAUAAUGGGUCAGCGACUUAUAUUCUGUAGCAAGGUUAACCGUAUAGGGGAGCCGGAGGGAAACCGAGUCUUAACCGGGCGUUAAGUUGCAGGGUAUAGACCCGAAACCCGGUGAUCUAGCCAUGGGCAGGUUGAAGGUUGGGUAACACUAACUGGAGGACCGAACCGACUAAUGUUGAAAAAUUAGCGGAUGACCUGUGGCUGGGGGUGAAAGGCCAAUCAAACCGGGAGAUAGCUGGUUCUCCCCGAAAGCUAUUUAGGUAGCGCCUCGUGAAUUCAUCUCCGGGGGUAGAGCACUGUUUCGGCUAGGGGGCCAUCCCGGCUUACCAACCCGAUGCAAACUGCGAAUACCGGAGAAUGUUAUCACGGGAGACACACGGCGGGUGCUAACGUCCGUCGUGAAGAGGGAAACAACCCAGACCGCCAGCUAAGGUCCCAAAGUCAUGGUUAAGUGGGAAACGAUGUGGGAAGGCCCAGACAGCCAGGAUGUUGGCUUAGAAGCAGCCAUCAUUUAAAGAAAGCGUAAUAGCUCACUGGUCGAGUCGGCCUGCGCGGAAGAUGUAACGGGGCUAAACCAUGCACCGAAGCUGCGGCAGCGACACUCAGGUGUUGUUGGGUAGGGGAGCGUUCUGUAAGCCUGUGAAGGUGGCCUGUGAGGGUUGCUGGAGGUAUCAGAAGUGCGAAUGCUGACAUAAGUAACGAUAAAGCGGGUGAAAAGCCCGCUCGCCGGAAGACCAAGGGUUCCUGUCCAACGUUAAUCGGGGCAGGGUGAGUCGACCCCUAAGGCGAGGCCGAAAGGCGUAGUCGAUGGGAAACGGGUUAAUAUUCCCGUACUUGGUGUUACUGCGAAGGGGGGGACGGAGAAGGCUAUGUUGGCCGGGCGACGGUUGUCCCGGUUUAAGCGUGUAGGUGUGUGUUCCAGGUAAAUCCGGUUCACUUUAACACUGAGGCGUGACGACGAGGCACUACGGUGCUGAAGCAACAAAUGCCCUGCUUCCAGGAAAAGCCUCUAAGCAUCAGGUAACAUCAAAUCGUACCCCAAACCGACACAGGUGGUCAGGUAGAGAAUACCAAGGCGCUUGAGAGAACUCGGGUGAAGGAACUAGGCAAAAUGGUGCCGUAACUUCGGGAGAAGGCACGCUGACACGUAGGUGAAGUGAUUUACUCAUGGAGCUGAAGUCAGUCGAAGAUACCAGCUGGCUGCAACUGUUUAUUAAAAACACAGCACUGUGCAAACACGAAAGUGGACGUAUACGGUGUGACGCCUGCCCGGUGCCGGAAGGUUAAUUGAUGGGGUCAGCGCAAGCGAAGCUCCUGAUCGAAGCCCCGGUAAACGGCGGCCGUAACUAUAACGGUCCUAAGGUAGCGAAAUUCCUUGUCGGGUAAGUUCCGACCUGCACGAAUGGCGUAAUGAUGGCCAGGCUGUCUCCACCCGAGACUCAGUGAAAUUGAACUCGCUGUGAAGAUGCAGUGUACCCGCGGCAAGACGGAAAGACCCCGUGAACCUUUACUAUAGCUUGACACUGAACAUUGAGCCUUGAUGUGUAGGAUAGGUGGGAGGCUUUGAAGUGUGGACGCCAGUCUGCAUGGAGCCGACCUUGAAAUACCACCCUUUAAUGUUUGAUGUUCUAACGUGGANNNNNNNNNNNNNNNNNNNNACAGUGUCUGGUGGGUAGUUUGACUGGGGCGGUCUCCUCCUAAAGAGUAACGGAGGAGCACGAAGGUUGGCUAAUCCUGGUCGGACAUCAGGAGGUUAGUGCAAUGGCAUAAGCCAGCUUGACUGCGAGCGUGACGGCGCGAGCAGGUGCGAAAGCAGGUCAUAGUGAUCCGGUGGUUCUGAAUGGAAGGGCCAUCGCUCAACGGAUAAAAGGUACUCCGGGGAUAACAGGCUGAUACCGCCCAAGAGUUCAUAUCGACGGCGGUGUUUGGCACCUCGAUGUCGGCUCAUCACAUCCUGGGGCUGAAGUAGGUCCCAAGGGUAUGGCUGUUCGCCAUUUAAAGUGGUACGCGAGCUGGGUUUAGAACGUCGUGAGACAGUUCGGUCCCUAUCUGCCGUGGGCGCUGGAGAACUGAGGGGGGCUGCUCCUAGUACGAGAGGACCGGAGUGGACGCAUCACUGGUGUUCGGGUUGUCAUGCCAAUGGCACUGCCCGGUAGCUAAAUGCGGAAGAGAUAAGUGCUGAAAGCAUCUAAGCACGAAACUUGCCCCGAGAUGAGUUCUCCCUGAGACUUUAGGUCUCCUGAAGGAACGUUGAAGACGACGACGUUGAUAGGCCGGGUGUGUAAGCGCAGCGAUGCGUUGAGCUAACCGGUACUAAUGAACCGUGAGGCUUAACCUUACAACGCCGAAGAUGUUUUGGCGGAUGAGAGACGAUUUUCAGCACUGAUU